rnacentral:other from 1 species
GUUAAGUUUUAACCUUUAAGCUGUAAUAGGGAGUUUUAUAUCGAAGCCGGAAUGUCAUGCCUCCAGUGUAGAGGACGACAGGAACGCUUCUGCAAACACCCACUUUGAGGAGUGGUGGUUUAAAACUUUCUUACUUGCAUACGGCAAGACGUAGCGAAAGC